rnacentral:lncRNA from 1 species
ACUAUUCCGUAGAGGCCGUGGCUGCCACAUCAUCAGUUUCAAGGUGUUCACAGUUCCUUGGUGACGGAAUUAAACGGUGCCUUCCUACCGGGAUGGUAAGUUUUGAACAUCCACUCUAUGAAGACUCAGAGUCAGGGACAGAGACCACCAGGGAACAAAGACAACCUCUGCUCCCCAAAAGCUCAAGAUGCCCCUGUUUAUUACUGUACUGAUGUACAAAUAUACUCGGUGGUACUGUCAGCCCUAAGGUUUCACCCUGUGGACAAGAGUUCAAAGGGAGCUGGGGAUGAGGGAGGGUGAGUGGGGAAGAGGAGCAGGUGAGUUCAAAGCAACAUUGACAUUUAAGCCACAUUUUGAAGCUAUGUGUGACUCACGUGUGCCUGCCAGAGAGGAAAGUGAGGUUAUUCCAGGCAGUGGAAAAGCUUGGCCAACCAGAAGCUUUGUGGCUUGUCAUAGAAGCUGGCUGAGGUCACAGCAGUGUUCAGUGUGUGAAAGAGGAUGAGAAAUAACGUUAGAAGAAAUGUGGGGCAGCUUGAGGAAGGAGCAAGGAGGGUGGUACUUAAACACGGAAUAACAGGCCAACAGUGUAACCCGUCCAGUUGUACCAGAACAUCUCAAGAGGAAUGGGGACUUGGUAAUGUAACAGAAAUAUAGAGUGCCCUUAGCCAGAUGUCUAUGGAUCCAGUACAGGAUUAUCCUGAUCCUACUUUUCUGUACCCUCCCAGUCUCCUACUCUCAAAGGACACCUACAGCAACUCCUGCCAAAGUUCCCUUCCCAUCUCAGUGUCUUGAAUAGCCUGAUAUAGCUGUGAUUCCUAAAAGGGAUGUGAGUAUGCUUUGGAAACACGCUGCUGGUUUUGCCCCUCUGGACUCUCAGGAUCCAUAUCAGCACCAGGUCUAUCCCAGAGAUUUUGGAGGAUAACUCACAGGGGACUGACAGAAUCCCUCUAGCAAAAGCCAUGGUCAUGGAGAAAGGGAUGAGAGUAAGGGCCCAGUCAAGGGCCCAGGAUGAUCCAGCACACAUCAGGUUAAGGAAGCAAAGCAGCCUUGGCUGUACCUUCCUGGGGUGAGAGCUCAGGAGUGAUCCAAGGUAGAAACUCAAGGAUCUCAGUCGAUAAGGAAAGGUUAUGUUCCACAAAGGUCAUGCAGCAAGCUAGCUGUGUAAGGAGAAGGGAGACCCGGUGUCAGAAAAAGAACUGUGCAGGUGUCAGACCACACCCCAUGAAGGCCUCCCUUUGACUGUUGUUGGAAAGAUUGACCAGGCUCUCAUGGAGAUUCUUAGUUUUCAAGGAGAGGAGAGUGGCCAGGUACAGAAUGGCAGCAAAGAGAAAACCUGGCUGCAGAUACUUUCUUUUCCACUGAUUACGACAGAAAACUGGAGAUGAGUGGAGCCAAGGGGUGCGGUCAGAGGGCACUUCUCUGAGGAAGUGAUACUUGUGAAAGGCCUGUGCAUGAAGAACAGCUAUUCCAGGCAGAGGGAAGAGCCAGUGGGGAAGCAAAGAGGAAGGUCUAGGAGUGAGCAGAUAUGAGGAUGUUAGAUAAAAAAAAAAAAACCAGGAGAGUCUCGACAAGACAGGCUCUGCCCUGAAAGACUGGAUUGCAUCCUUAGGAUGAGGGAUGGCCAGAAGGAGACCUAACUGAGAGCCUGUUGACACAGAGAGAGAAUUUAAGGCCAAAAUUGAAGGACAAGUGUGGAGGGGAAGACUUGAGAAGUCCAUGGUCCAGAGAGAGAUGCAGCGUGUUUGCUCUAGGCAGUGGAAUCCGGUGAUGGGUGGGUCUUGGAGAGGGCAUAAAGUGACAAGAAAGCAUUGAGAGUUAACAGGAGAUCAGAUCAGUCAGGGUUGGGGAGAGAAGGGAAUUGAAAAAGAGAACUGAGAAAAAUGCCACUAAAUUACUUUGUAGGUGGGAAUCAUGAUAUCUUAAAGACCUUUGUAAGUUUGUCAGUAGGUUCUCAUGAAAGCCAGGUUUUAGCUAAGAGAUAAAUAGAAAAAAAUAUGGUCCUAUAGUCAGGUACCAAAUUGUACCAGUGUUGGCUGGUGUGUUCCAGCUUCCUCAUUCUGACUCUCAGCCACUCGGAUCCUUCAACUGAGGUCACAUAUCUUAAGAAAGCCUAUACAUUCCCAGGAUGUUAUUGGUCGUUCCCCACCUUGACUCUGAGCUGGUCCGCUAGAUUCUAUUUCAUUAACACUGGAAGCUACCUGCUCUCCCUAUUAAAAGACGGGUAUCCGUGUUUGCUCCCUGGCAGCAGUGGAUGGAAUGAAGCCAGUGCUGUGACUCAGUGGUAGAGUGCCUGCCUAGCAUGUGUGAGUCCCCAGUCCGAACAAAAACAGAAAAUCUGUAAGACUCUAUUGUUUCAUCAGAAAUAGAUUCCUAAUGGCUAAGGCUGGAGCCCAGUGGUUGAGUAUUUAUCUACCAGACACAAGGCUAUAAGCUCAACACCCAGCACUUCAAAAAAGAAAAAA